GAUGAACGCUAGCUACAGGCUUAACACAUGCAAGUCGAGGGGAAACGGCAUUGAGUGCUUGCACUCUUUGGACGUCGACCGGCGCACGGGUGAGUAACGCGUAUCCAACCUUCCCAUUACUGUGGGAUAACCUGCCGAAAGGCAGACUAAUACCGCAUAGUCUUCGAUGACGGCAUCAGAUUUGAAGUAAAGAUUUAUCGGUAAUGGAUGGGGAUGCGUCCGAUUAGCUUGUUGGCGGGGUAACGGCCCACCAAGGCUACGAUCAGUAGGGGUUCUGAGAGGAAGGUCCCCCACAUUGGAACUGAGACACGGUCCAAACUCCUACGGGAGGCAGCAGUGAGGAAUAUUGGUCAAUGGACGGAAGUCUGAACCAGCCAAGUAGCGUGCAGGAUGACGGCCCUAUGGGUUGUAAACUGCUUUUGUAUGGGGAUAAAGUUAGGGACGUGUCCCUAUUUGCAGGUACCAUACGAAUAAGGACCGGCUAAUUCCGUGCCAGCAGCCGCGGUAAUACGGAAGGUCCAGGCGUUAUCCGGAUUUAUUGGGUUUAAAGGGAGCGUAGGCUGGAGAUUAAGUGUGUUGUGAAAUGUAGACGCUCAACGUCUGAAUUGCAGCGCAUACUGGUUUCCUUGAGUACGCACAACGUUAGCGGAAUUCGUCGUGUAGCGGUGAAAUGCUUAGAUAUGACGAAGAACUCCGAUUGCGAAGGCAGCUGACGGGAGCGCAACUGACGCUUAAGCUCGAAGGUGCGGGUAUCAAACAGG
rnacentral:rRNA from 1 species